rnacentral:lncRNA from 1 species
GUGCUCCGCAGGACUUCAGGAUUUAAAUGGGCUGAGACGUAUGUCCUGUUCCUCUCCUUUCUAAAAAUGGAUCUGAGAACGCUGUCUGGGCUUGGUACCAAGAGCUGGUAUUUCACAGCAGCGACCGCCUCACAGACGAGCUGUGGGAAGCAGGAGGGAGACUCUCUCUUAGGGUGCCACUACUAUGGAGACACAGCUGGGCUGAACAAGAUUUGCUUCAAACGACAACAAGAGAGACAGAAAGUAUCUGGUUCAACCGCUGCCCGAGCAGGCAGGCACCAGAAGAGCUAGCAGCCAAUCCGGCCAUGCUCGAAGCCAGCUCUGCAGCUCAGCCAAUCAGUGACAUCAUUGCUUUCUUUAGCUUGCCCAUGGUGAUGUGAAGAUGAGAAGAAAUAGCAAGGCCCAACCAGUUCUUCAUCUGGAGACAGUUCAACGUUCUGCAAACCAGAUCUUCAGGAAUUUUACUGGGAUAAUUAUCCAAAUAAAUUGCAAGCAUUCUAUCCAAAUGGAGCUCUUUCUGAGAUGAAGAGAAUUCUCAAUGUCAAGAUUUGAACAAGAAGAGAAUGGAAUACACAAUAUGGACAUCCAUAAAAAUUCAUCAGAGAGCAUUUUACUACUGAGCUGCAAAGGGAAAAACUUAAAAUGGAUAUGAAAAGUGAAGAAAGUGAUCAUAGGAGAAAACCAUUUCAGAUGACAAGAGCACCUCAAAGGCAGCAGCCUCAAGGAGCAGCCAUGGCCCCAGACUUGUCGCACGGAUGCAGAAAACUUAAUGGAGGAGGCUGAGGUCAGAAUGGGAAGAGUUUUUAAAAAAUAAAAAGGGGAGCUAAUAUGUGAGGAACUGAUUGCUGUGCAUUAUUUUCCACUGAACAGACCUUCUUUUAACUUCUAAUCUCAAGCACAUAGCAGCUGUUGUUUUCAUAUUAAAGAUCAGUAAGUGUUUGUUGAAUGAAUGUAUAAAUUCUUCCCCAAUCUCUGUUCCAUGUAAUAAGAACUAAGUUAGCAUUCAAUUAUAAAGAGGACUUAGAAAGUCUGCAGACAUUUUUGAUCAAAAAUCCUUUUAACUGUCUUCUUAUGGUUCCCGGUAACACCUAAGCCCAAAAAACUCAGGUCAUUUCUUGCCUGUACUGUUGCAAUAGCCUCAUAAUAACUAGUCUUCUCCUUUAUCAACCACAGUCGUCUCCGCUACACAAAGAAGAGAGGGUGCUAAUCUAAAGUGUAAAUUAUUUUAAAUCAGCACCCUUCUUGUAAUUUCCCAGUGGUUUUUCCUGUCAUAAGAAUAACAUGCAAAAUUCCUUGCUUGCAAAGCCAGGUAUGACCUUGCCCCGUCUACCUUACUGGCAUCGUCUCUCAUGACUCUUCCCCUUUUUCACUCUCCAUCUUGCCUUUUCCCAACCAUGCCUGCUAGUGAGCCUUAGCCCUUGUGUUUUCUCUGCCAGGGAUGCAUGACUGGCUUCUUUACUUUAUUCUGAUCUCUCUGCUCAAAUGUCAUCUUUUUAGAGAUAGCUUUCCUAAACAUCUUUAAAAGUACCCCAUGAACUGUGAAACACCUUUCCUGCUUUUUCUUCAUAGUACUUAUCACUUCCUGAUAUUAUGUUAGACAACAAGCAAAUAAGUAUAUGCUGUUCCCACUAAAAUAUAAGCUCCAUUUGAACAGGAGCCUUGAUUAUUCCUGAGUAUACCCCUAGUGCCCAGAACCUAGUAGGGCUUUAAUAAAUAUUAGAUUCAUUUGUUGAAUGAAAAAAUGAAUGAAUAAUUGAAUAAAGAUAUCCAGGUAGAGUGUCCGGGCAGCCCAACCUAUGUGAAGCCAGUACAAGAAUGUUUCUGUGACAUAGUGAGCGCAAUUAUUCCUCUAAAUGAUGAACUUGCAUGAGUACACAAGGAUAAAAUUAAGCACGUAGUUUAGAUUUCUGCAAGUCUCUUCCUCAGAUUGAGGAAAAACAAAGAAAUUGAGCUUAUUCUCACCUCAUUCUUACAUGAACUAAAUCCAGAAUAAAGCAUCAUUUAAAUACCAAGCACAUCCCUACCUCAGCCACUCAUGGAAUACUUUAUCUGUAAAGGGACAGAUAGAUAGUAAAUAUUUUUGGCUUUGGGGACCGUACAGUCUGUGUCGCCACUACUCAGCACUUCUGUUGAGGUGUGGAAUCAGCCCUAGACAACACAUAAACAAAUGGGUGUGGCUGUGUUCCAAUAAAAUGUUAUUUAUAAAACUAGGAAAUCAGCAGAUUUAGUCCACAGGCUGUAGUUUGCUGACCCUUGAAUUAGAGAGUCUUCCCCAAAUCCUCUUCCCAAGUUAUUGAAAGAAUGCCCAUAGGACCAUAGCUCCCUCACCUGGUUCUUUCAAGAAAUGAGACAAAUUCAGGGAUGGUUGGAGGGUGGAACGCCUACCUGUGACAUGACUAUUGAGCCUGAUUUCUUUCCUUUUAUCUCUUUAAAGUGAGUCAGGUCUUAACUUUAAACUGUCUCUAAAGUGGCAAUAACUGGGCCAUGUCAAAUACUCCCAAUGACAAAAUUUCUUCUUGGAGAAUGAAUGAGGGUUGCAUACAGUGGUGUGUUGGUAAAUGUUUAGCAACUGGCUCUCUUACUGAUUUCUGUAGUGUAAAUUCUCCCAUCCUGGCCAUCUGAAACUACCAAUAUGAUGUCACUUGAUGUAGAGUUGGGAAAAGACAGUCUCUUGAAUAAGUAUGAGCUGGUUCCAGCCCACUGCUGAACACAUAUUUAAAAGCUACAAUAGCUCUGCUCACUGCCAUUGCAGAGUCUGGAGGAAAGAGUAGCAGGCUUGAUAGGAGCAAUUGGCUGAAUAAUCUUUUGCAAUGCCAAUAAAUAAUGAAAAAGUAUAUAAAUAUAACGCUGUAUAGAAAGCUCUCAAGUUCAGUGUUUGGUUAAAAUACAUACUCAGUAAAUGGUAGCUAUUAUUGUCUUAGUUUAAGUUAUUGCAAGCAUUAAAAUUAAAUGUUUAGCUACAGACUCAAUCCAGUUUUAAUGUCAUUGUGUUAAUAAGGCCUCUUAACAUUGAAGCAACAAAGAUAAAGGAAUUUUUUUGUAGCUAUUCACGAUUCUGCCCAGCUCAAGGUAAAGAUAGCAACAAAAUACUCCAACCAGAAUAAAAGAAGUCUCCACUUGACUGCAGCUCUUCGCAACACUUCACAAGGGUCAAGCUGUGUUAGUUUCCUUCAGUGUUAAACAGAAUGCAUCUUAAGAGAAUAGUUCAAUUAUUGAUUGAAUAGUAGGUUCAAGUUGACUAUAAUCCCAACUAAUACACUCUAAGACCAGGGAUGGGCCGACAGAAGGGUAAAGUUUUCCACUCAAGUCUCGAGGCAAACACUCAGAUAGAAGUAGUAAUAUGGAUGCCUUCUAUUAUUUGGUCACAUACAAUACUGUUCCAGCCCAGUUGUGCAAAACUGGUGAAAUAAAAGGCAAAAAUAUUGACAACAGUUUGGGUAACUGGAUUCCAAAAUGGGCAUCCAUCUAAGAGAAAUUAAUGAAAAAAAAGCAUAUGGACCUUGAAAUACAUUAAUACACAGUUUAGGUUUAAACACUCAGUUUUUAUUAGAAAAGACUAACUUAUCCUGUUUUGAACACUACAAAAGUGCUUUCUGAACCAUUUACUCUCAAACCUCCUCCACCCAUUCCCCUCCAUCUAUAACGCUUUCUGCACAUCUGUAAAAGGUAUGACUUAGUGUUUGGUCUGUGAAAUAAGGUUAAAAAGGAAGCAUUUCUUUUUACAUUCUAGCUAAUGUUGAUAUUUUUCUCAUGCUUCUAUUAGCACAUAAUUCAGAUACAUUAGUUUUGAAGUUUUGAAUCUUCUCUGCUUCUUGAGGGCUCUCUGUUCUAGAUCAACAUGAUCUGUGGAACACCAGCCAAGUCCUGGGCAGAACCCUCCCCGUUGUCCAAAUAUUACUGAAUCAGUUGAGUUUUCUCUGUUGUCAAUGAAUUAUUCCACAUGUUUCUUUGGCUACAUUUUUUUUGGCUUUCUGUUCACAGUAAAUAUAGCCUUUGUUUUUAAAAACUUCUAUUAUGAAAAUUCCAAAUAUAUGCAAAUUAGAGAGAAUAGCAUAAUGAACCUCUAUGUGCUUAUCACACAUAUAGGUUCAACUAAUUAAAUUAUAUCAAUUUAUGGCCAAUCUGGUUUCAUUUAUAACAUCAUUCGCUCAUUCCUAACUCCCUGGAUUAUUUGAUUGACAUGUUUCUAAAGUUCCUUUUAAUCUGUAGGUUCCCCCUCUCAUUUAAUCUUUUGCAACUUAUUCAUUGAUGAAACUGGGUUAUUUGUCCUUUAUUGUUUCUCUCAUUCUGAAAUAUGCUGUAAUGUCAUUAACCAUAUUCUUCUUUCCUGUAUUUUCUGUAAGCUUUGAGCUAGGCAGAAAUAUUUUAAUCAGAUUCCUUUUUUUUUCUUUUAGCAAGAUUUCUUCAUAAAUAAUAU